rnacentral:lncRNA from 1 species
UAUACAUAAUUCCUUUGAUGGUAUUUGUCCCAGAUAGUUGGAGGUAUUGUUGCAUGCUAAAGAGCCAUUGGCAUACAUCUUCUUGCUUUAAAGUCCUGAAGUAUGUACCAAGCUUAUUCAAUUUCAACCUAGCAGAUGUCGACUCCUUUAUCCUAAAGGCUACUAUUUUUCCUUGCAGAGUAACUAUCUAGCUUAAGAUGUGUUGUAUCUGAGUCUCUAUUUGGGAUUGCUUUGCCAUAUCUUUCAUGCUACAAUUUUCUUACUGAACUCUGCUAAUGUAAUGCUUUCUCUUCUUCCAAUUGCUUUUUUGAAAGUAACUCAUGUUAUCUUUAAAAUAAUAUUUGAUGUGACUAUAACAACUAAUUUGCAAUUAAAAGGUGGCUAGCAAUACACUACAAAAGAAUAAAUUAACACUCGCUUUGAUAUCAAUGAAACAUGACUAGACUAUAUUUAAGAUUUAAGUUCUUUUCAAUCUAUAGCAAUAUAAAUCUUGUCACAAUGUAAGUUAACAUAGAACAAAAUAAAACUAAACAAAA